rnacentral:tRNA from 1 species
GGGAGGAUAGCUCAACUGGUAAAGUGCAUGCUUACUAUGCACAAGGUCCUGGGUUCAAUUCCCAGCACCCCCU